rnacentral:SRP_RNA from 1 species
GACCUGCCGGAAGGGGCCCUGGUGGCGUCUGUGCCGUACGAGUGCAUGCUCUCCGUCGAUUGGGCGUUUCGCACGGAGCUCGCCGUCUUCCUGCGGGAGGCGCGGGAGGGGGGGGACCCGCGGCUGGCCAUUAUCGUGGACGAGGAGCGGCGCAGGUGGGA